rnacentral:rRNA from 1 species
AUAGCGUAUAUUAAAGUUGUUGCAGUUAAAACGCUCGUAGUUGAACUUCAGACCUGGCCGGGCGGUCCGCUUAACGGCGUGUACUGUCUGGCUGGGCCUUACCUCUUGGUGAGCCGGCGUGCCCUUUAUUGGUGUGCGUCGGGGAACCAGGACUUUUACCUUGAGAAAAUUAGAGUGUUCAAAGCAGGCCUAUGCCCGAAUACAUUAGCAUGGAAUAAUAAAAUAGGACGUGUGGUUCUAUUUUGUUGGUUUCUAGAGUCGCCGUAAUGAUUAAUAGGGAUAGUUGGGGGCAUUGGUAUUGAGUCGCUAGAGGUGAAAUUCUUGGAUUGACUCAAGACCAACUAUUG